UACGUAGGGUGCGAGCGUUGUCCGGAAUUAUUGGGCGUAAAGCGCGUGUAGGCGGCUUAGCAAGUCGGGCGUGAAAGCCCUCGGCUCAACCGAGGAAGUGCACCCGAAACUGCUGAGCUUGAGUGCCGGAGAGGAUGGCGGAAUUCCCCAAGUAGAGGUGAAAUUCGUAGAUAUGGGGAGGAACACCGGUGGCGAAGGCGGCCAUCUGGACGGUAACUGACGCUGAGACGCGAAAGCGUGGGUAGCAAACAGG
rnacentral:rRNA from 1 species